GACUUUGUGGCACAAUGGUAGUGUGUUUGACUCCAAAUCAGAAGGUUGUGUGUUCAAAUCACACCAGGGUCA